UACAGAGGUCCCGAGCGUUGUUCGGAUUCAUUGGGCGUAAAGGGUGCGUAGGUGGCGUCGUAAGUCGGGUGUGAAAUCUCGGGGCUUAACUCCGAAACUGCAUUCGAUACUGCGGUGCUUGAGGACUGGAGAGGAGACUGGAAUUUACGGUGUAGCAGUGAAAUGCGUAGAGAUCGUAAGGAAGACCAGUGGCGAAGGCGGGUCUCUGGACAGUUCCUGACACUGAGGCACGAAGGCCAGGGGAGCAAACGGG
rnacentral:rRNA from 1 species